UACGAAGGGUGCAAACGUUGCUCGGAAUUAUUGGGCGUAAAGGGCGCGUAGGCGGCUUGGCAAGUGGAUGGUGAAAUCCCUCGGCUUAACCGAGGAACUGCCGUCCAAACUGCUUCGCUUGAGACCGGGAGAGGUGAGUGGAAUUCCCAGUGUAGCGGUGAAAUGCGUAGAUAUUGGGAGGAACACCAGUGGCGAAGGCGGCUCACUGGACCGGUACUGACGCUGAUGCGCUAAAGCGUGGGGAGCAAACGGG
rnacentral:rRNA from 1 species